UAUUGAAAACAUGUCUAUUUUAAGACGAUGUUAUUUAAUUUCUUACAUCGGCCAUUGAUUAGCAGCGAAAAAACGAAAUAAAGCAGAAUGGAUGUACCAUUGAAAGACACAAAAAAGGUUUACAUAAAAAAUAAUCAUGCAAGUAAAACCGAAAGAAACCAG